rnacentral:rRNA from 1 species
UACGUAGGGCGCAAGCGUUAUCCGGAAUUAUUGGGCGUAAAGAGCUCGUAGGCGGUGUGUCGCGUCGGCCGUGAAAACCUGCAGCUUAACUGUGGGCGUGCGGUCGAUACGGGCAUCACUGGAGUUCGGCAGGGGAGACUGGAAUUCCUGGUGUAGCGGUGAAAUGCGCAGAUAUCAGGAGGAACACCGGUGGCGAAGGCGGGUCUCUGGGCCGAUACUGACGCUGAGGAGCGAAAGCGUGGGGAGCGAACAGG